rnacentral:rRNA from 1 species
GACGAACGCUGGCGGCGUGCUUAACACGUGCAAGUCGAACGGAAAGGCCCUGCUUUUGUGGGGUGCUCGAGUGGCGAACGGGUGAGUAACACGUGAGUAACCUGCCCUUGACUUUGGGAUAACUUCAGGAAACUGGGGCUAAUACCGGAUAGGAGCUCCUGCUGCAUGGUGGGGGUUGGAAAGUUUCGGCGGUUGGGGAUGGACUCGCGGCUUAUCAGCUUGUUGGUGGGGUAGUGGCUUACCAAGGCUUUGACGGGUAGCCGGCCUGAGAGGGUGACCGGCCACAUUGGGUCUGAGAUACGGCCCAGACUCCUACGGGAGGCAGCAGUGGGGAAUAUUGCACAAUGGGCGGAAGCCUGAUGCAGCAACGCCGCGUGCGGGAUGACGGCCUUCGGGUUGUAAACCGCUUUCGCCUGUGACGAAGCGUGAGUGACGGUAAUGGGUAAAGAAGCACCGGCUAACUACGUG